rnacentral:rRNA from 1 species
UACAGAGGGUGCAAGCGUUGUUCGGAAUUAUUGGGCGUAAAGGGCGCGUAGGCGGUGCUGUAAGUCUGUGGUGAAAUCUCUGGGCUCAACUCAGAGUCUGCCAUAGAAACUGCAGUGCUGGAGUGUGGGAGAGGUGAGUGGAAUUCCUAGUGUAGAGGUGAAAUUCGUAGAUAUUAGGAAGAACACCAGUGGCGAAGGCGGCUCACUGGCCCGGUACUGACGCUGAGGCGCGAAAGCGUGGGGAGCAAACAGG